rnacentral:tRNA from 2 species
GCUUCCUUAGCUCAGUUGGUUAGAGCAUCUGACUGUUAAUCAGAGGGUCUCAGGUUCAAGUCCUGAAGGGAGCG